rnacentral:rRNA from 1 species
CAGUCGCCGCGGGAAUACGGAGGAUCCAAGCGUUAUCCGGAAUCAUUGGGUUUAAAGGGUCCGUAGGCGGUCUCGUAAGUCAGUGGUGAAAGCCCAUCGCUCAACGGUGGAACGGCCAUUGAUACUGCAGGACUUGAAUUAUUGGGAAGUAACUAGAAUAUGUAGUGUAGCGGUGAAAUGCUUAGAGAUUACAUGGAAUACCAAUUGCGAAGGCAGGUUACUACCAAUUGAUUGACGCUGAUGGACGAAAGCGUGGGUAGCGAACAGGAUUAGAUACCCCGGUAGUCCCUGUCUCUUAUAC